GAUGAAGAACGUAGCGAAAUGCGAUAAGUAAUGUGAAUUGCAGAAUUCAGUGAAUCAUCGAAUCUUUGAACGCACAUUGCGCCCGCCAGUAUUCUGGCGGGCAUGCCUGUUCGAGCGUCAUUACAACCCUCAGGCCCCCGGGCCUGGCGUUGGGGAUCGGCGGAAGCCCCCUGUGGGCACACGCCGUCCCUCAAAUACAGUGGCGGUCCCGCCGCAGCUUCCAUUGCGUAGUAGCUAACACCUCGCAACUGGAGAGCGGCGCGGCCAUGCCGUAAAACACCCAACUUCUGAAUGUUGACCUCGAAUCAGGUAGGAAUACCCGCCGAACUUAAGCAUAUCAAUAAGCGGAGGA
rnacentral:misc_RNA from 1 species